UUCCGGUUGAUCCUGCCAGACCUGACUGCUAUCGGAUUGAUACUAAGCCAUGCGAGUCAUUGUAGCAAUACAAGGCAGACGGCUCAGUAACGCGUAGUCAACCUAACCUAUGGACGGGAAUAACCUCGGGAAACUGAGAAUAAUGCCCGAUAGAACACUAUACCUGGAAUGGUUUGUGUUCCAAAUGAUUUAUCGCCGUAGGAUGGGACUGCGGCCUAUCAGUUUGUUGGUGAGGUAAUGGCCCACCAAGACUAUUACAGGUACGGGCUCUGAGAGGAGUAGCCCGGAGAUGGGUACUGAGACACGGACCCAGGCCCUAUGGGGCGCAGCAGGCGAGAAAACUUUGCAAUGUGCGAAAGCACGACAAGGUUAAUCCGAGUGGUUUCUGCUAAAGGAACCUUUUGUUAGUCCUAGAAACACUAACGAAUAAGGGGUGGGCAAGUUCUGGUGUCAGCCGCCGCGGUAAAACCAGCACCUCAAGUGGUCAGGAUGAUUAUUGGGCCUAAAGCAUCCGUAGCCGGCUCUGUAAGUUUUCGGUUAAAUCUGUACGCUCAACGUACAGGCUGCCGGGAAUACUGCAGAGCUAGGGAGUGGGAGAGGUAGACGGUACUCGGUAGGAAGGGGUAAAAUCCUUUGAUCUAUUGAUGACCACCUGUGGCGAAGGCGGUCUACCAGAACACGUCCGACGGUGAGGGAUGAAAGCUGGGGGAGCAAACCGGAUUAGAUACCCGGGUAGUCCCAGCUGUAAACUAUGCAAACUCAGUGAUGCAUUGACUUGUGGUCAAUGCAGUGCUGCAGGGAAGCCGUUAAGUUUGCCGCCUGGGAAGUACGUACGCAAGUAUGAAACUUAAAGGAAUUGGCGGGGGAGCACCACAAGGG
rnacentral:rRNA from 1 species